rfam:Glycine max cultivar Williams 82 chromosome 16, whole genome shotgun sequence.
CUGUUAAGUGAUGAUGUGACAAACGAAGUGCCAUGUCAUCACGCCUUAUUACUGACACGUCAUUACAUGUCAUCACCUUCAAUGAUGUGACAAUGAUGUGUCAGUGAUUAGGUGUGAUGAUAUAACACUCUAUCUGUUACGUCAUCACUUAAUGAAA